rnacentral:rRNA from 1 species
AUUGAACGCCGGCGGCAGGCCUAACACAUGCAAGUCGAGCGGAUGUCGGGAGCUUGCUGCUUGAUUCAGCGGCGGACGGGUGAGUAAUGCCUAGGAAUCGGUCUGGCAGCGGGGGACGAUGCAUCGAAAGGAACGCUAAUACCGCAUACACCCUACGGGCGAAAGCAGGGUACCUUCGGGACGUGCGCUAUCAGAUGUCCCUAGGUCGGAUUAGCUAGUAGGUGAGGUAAUGGUUAACCUAGGCGACGAUCCGUAACUGGUGUGAGAGGAUGAUCAGUCACACUGGAACUGAGACACGGUCCAGACUCCUACGGGAGGCAGCAGUGGGGAAUAUUGGACAAUGGGCGAAAGCCUGAUCCAGUCAUGCCGCGUGUGUGAAGAAGGUCUUCGGAUUGUAAAGCACUUUAAGUUGGGAGGAAGGGCAGUAAGUUAAUACCUUGCUGUUUUGACGUUACCGACAGAAUAAGCACCGGCUAACUCUGUGCCAGCAGCCGCGGUAACAC